GACGGAGGAUGCAAGUGUUAUCCGGAAUCACUGGGCGUAAAGCGUCUGUAGGUGGUUCGAAAAGUCCACUGUUAAAAAUUGAGGCUUAACUUCAAAGAUGCCGUGGAAACUUUCAAACUAGAGUAUGGUAGGGGUAGAGGGAAUUUCCAGUGGAGCGGUGAAAUGCGUAGAUAUUGGAAAGACCACCGAUGGCGAAGGCACUCUACUGGGCCAUUACUGACACUGAGAGACGAAAAGCUAGGGGGAGCAAAUGGG
rnacentral:rRNA from 1 species